rnacentral:rRNA from 1 species
UACGUAGGGUGCGAGCGUUGUCCGGAAUUAUUGGGCGUAAAGGGCUCGUAGGCGGUUUGUCGCGUCGGGAGUGAAAACUCAGGGCUUAACCCUGAGCCUGCUUCCGAUACGGGCAGACUAGAGGUAUGCAGGGGAGAACGGAAUUCCCGGUGUAGCGGUGAAAUGCGCAGAUAUCGGGAGGAACACCGGUGGCGAAGGCGGUUCUCUGGGCCUUACCUGACGCUGAGGAGCGAAAGCGUGGGGGGCGAACAGG